GGUACCAGUUGACUCGAGUCAGACGUCCAGGGUCAGAGGCCAGUGGUGCUGGAGAGAAAUGGGGUGAGGGGAGUAUUGCCUCACUGACACUGUCCUCGACACUGACAGGAGGGGCCCUCCACGUUUGUCCCCCCAGAGAGUGCAGGAGAAGCAGCAGCAGCAGCAGAUGAGUGGGAAUGAGAUCAACCUUGAGAAAAGGACUGAGGAAUACCGAGUCAUGAGGGAGAUCUUGCUGCUCCAGGUGGCCGCAAAGAAUUACAACCAGAGCCCAAGGAGCGAUUUGGGGCCUGGUUCCAGGACAUGGAGCUGCUCAACGAGAAUGAGAGCUACAGUCUGUCCUGCCAGCUGGACCCCCAGACCUAGUUGGCCAGCAGAAUACUCAAGGCCAAGAAGAACCAGCCGUCAUCAAGGUCAGGGGUGAGUGAGUGUCUGGGCCGGGGUGACUGACUCCUAGGGGUUCAGUAAGGCUUCAGGCUAAGCGUGGCCUUGGGGAGUUGGACAGCUGGCACUGGGAUCCCAGCUCCACU